rnacentral:piRNA from 1 species
UGCCAGUGCUGAGGAACAUGAAGUCCCUUC